GUGAGGAAUAUUGCGCAAUGGAGGCAACUCUGACGCAGCCAUGCCGCGUGCAGGAAGAAGGCGCUACGCGUUGUAAACUGCUUUUAACCGGGAAGAAACCCCAGGACGUGUCCUGGGUUGACGGUACCGGAGGAAUAAGCACCGGCUAACUUCGUGCCAGCAGCCGCGGUAAUACGAAGGGUGCAAGCGCUAUCCGGAUUCACUGGGUUUAAAGGGUGCGUAGGCGGAGCGUUAAGUCAGUGGUGAAAUCCUGCAGCUUAACUGUAGACUUGCCAUUGAUACUGGCGCUCUUGAGUGCGCUUGAAGUAGGCGGAAUGUGCCGUGUAGCGGUGAAAUGCUUAGAUAUGGCUCAGAACACCAAUUGCGAAGGCAGCUCACUAAGGCGAUACUGACGCUGAGGCACGAAAGCGUGGGGAUCGAACAGGAUUAGAAACCCUAGUAGUCC
rnacentral:rRNA from 1 species